UACCAGCACCCCGAGUGGUCGGGACGAUUAUUGGGCCUAAAGCAUCCGUACCCGGUUCUACAAGUCUUCCGUUAAAUCCACCUGCUCAACAGAUGGGCUGCGGAGGAUACUAUAGAGCUAGGAGGCGGGAGAGGCAAGCGGUACUUAGUGGGUAGGGGUAAAAUCCGUUGAUCCAUUGAAGACCACCAGUGGCGAAGGCGGCUUGCCAGAACGCACUCGACGGUGAGGGAUGAAAGCUGGGGGAGCAAACCGG
rnacentral:rRNA from 1 species